rfam:Comamonadaceae bacterium A1 DNA, complete genome.
GGGGCUGCAUUGGUUUCGACGUGGGAACGGAUGCGCUGCAGGGCAUGUCGAGGUUCUGUCACCUCGUUAAUCAGCAGAAAAAAAGUAACUGCAAACGACGAACGUUUCGCACUCGCCGCUUAACCCGGUGAGCCUUGCAACAGUUGGCCAAUGGGCUGGGCAAGGGCGGUACAGGUAGCAAUACCGGCACCGUCCAGGCUGCAAGGGAAUCUACAUAGGCUGGCCGGGGCGCGGGCAACUUGCGCAACGGUAAGACUCAAGGUUGCUGGCUGGAUGCACAGCGUGUCGCUGCGCGGCGCACCCGGCGAGACCCAAAUCAGACGACUACACAUGUAGAACUGCUCACAGAAGGCUUGCGGACGGCGGUUCGAUUCCGCCCAGCUCCACCA